rnacentral:snRNA from 1 species
AUUGAUUUUUUAUUUACGUAAGG